rnacentral:rRNA from 1 species
GACGAACGCUGGCGGCGUGCCUAACACAUGCAAGUCGAGCGGAGAAUUGAUGAAGAUUUAUCUGAUGCAGUUUUUAGCGGCGGACGGGUGAGUAACGCGUGGGUAACCUACCUUGUACAGGGGGAUAACACAGGGAAACUUGUGCUAAUACCGCAUGAAAUCAGUUUAUCGCAUGGUAGACUGAUCAAAGGAGUCAAAUCCGGUAUAAGAUGGACCCGCGUCCGAUUAGCUAGUUGGAGGUGUAAAGGACCACCAAGGCGACGAUCAGUAGCCGACCUGAGAGGGUGACCGGCCACAUUGGGACUGAGACACGGCCCAAACUCCUACGGGAGGCAGCAGUGGGGAAUAUUGCACAAUGGGGGAAACCCUGAUGCAGCGACGCCGCGUGAGCGAUGAAGUAUUUCGGUAUGUAAAGCUCUAUCAGCAGGGAAGAAAAUGACGGUACCUGACUAAGAAGCACCGGCUAAAUACGUGCCAGCAGCCGCCGUAA